rnacentral:rRNA from 1 species
GCCCUAAAUCUCGAUGCUUACCCUACUAAAGCAUCCGCCUGAGAACUACGAGCACAAACGCUUAAAACUCUAAGGACUUGGCGGUGCCCCAAACCCACCUAGAGGAGCCUGUUCUGUAAUCGACAACCCACGAUACACCCGGCCACUUCUCGCCAAAACAGCCUACAUACCGCCGUCGCCAGCUCACCUUCCCUGAGGGCACAACAGUGAGCACAAUAGCCCUAACACCACUAGUAAGACAGGUCAAGGUAUAGCCUAUGAAGUGGAAGAAAUGGGCUACAUUUUCUAACUUAGAAAACCCCCAACCUAACGGAAGAGAGUGUGAAAUAACUCCCGGAAGGCGGAUUUAGCAGUAAAGCGGGACAAUAAGGCCCCCUUUAAACCGGCUCUGAGGCAC